rnacentral:rRNA from 1 species
AGGGCGCACGGUGGAUGCCUUGGCACUAGAAGCCGAUGAAGGACGUUACUAACGACGAUAUGCUUUGGGGAGCUGUAAGUAAGCUUUGAUCCAGAGAUUUCCGAAUGGGGAAACCCAGCAUGAGUUAUGUCAUGUUAUCGAUAUGUGAAUACAUAGCAUAUCAGAAGGCACACCCGGAGAACUGAAACAUCUUAGUACCCGGAGGAAGAGAAAGAAAAUUCGAUUCCCUUAGUAGCGGCGAGCGAAACGGGAAGAGCCCAAACCAACAAGCUUGCUUGUUGGGGUUGUAGGACACUCUAUACGGAGUUACAAAGGACGACAUUAGACGAAUCAUCUGGAAAGAUGAAUCAAAGAAGGUAAUAAUCCUGUAGUCGAAAAUGUUGUCUCUCUUGAGUGGAUCCUGAGUACGACGGAGCACGUGAAAUUCCGUCGGAAUCUGGGAGGACCAUCUCCUAAGGCUAAAUACUCUCUAGUGACCGAUAGUGAACCAGUACCGUGAGGGAAAGGUGAAAAGCACCCCGGAAGGGGAGUGAAAUAGAACCUGAAACCGUGUGCUUACAAGUAGUCAGAGCCCGUUAAUGGGUGAUGGCGUGCCUUUUGUAGAAUGAACCGGCGAGUUACGAUUUGAUGCAAGGUUAAGCAGUAAAUGUGGAGCCGUAGCGAAAGCGAGUCUGAAUAGGGCGUUUAGUAUUUGGUCGUAGACCCGAAACCAGGUGAUCUACCCUUGGUCAGGUUGAAGUUCAGGUAACACUGAAUGGAGGACCGAACCGACUUACGUUGAAAAGUGAGCGGAUGAACUGAGGGUAGCGGAGAAAUUCCAAUCGAACCUGGAGAUAGCUGGUUCUCUCCGAAAUAGCUUUAGGGCUAGCCUCAAGUGAUGAUUAUUGGAGGUAGAGCACUGUUUGGACGAGGGGCCCCUCUCGGGUUACCGAAUUCAGACAAACUCCGAAUGCCAAUUAAUUUAACUUGGGAGUCAGAACAUGGGUGAUAAGGUCCGUGUUCGAAAGGGAAACAGCCCAGACCACCAGCUAAGGUCCCAAAAUAUAUGUUAAGUGGAAAAGGAUGUGGCGUUGCCCAGACAACUAGGAUGUUGGCUUAGAAGCAGCCAUCAUUUAAAGAGUGCGUAAUAGCUCACUAGUCGAGUGACACUGCGCCGAAAAUGUACCGGGGCUAAACAUAUUACCGAAGCUGUGGAUUGUCCUUUGGACAAUGGUAGGAGAGCGUUCUAAGGGCGUUGAAGCAUGAUCGUAAGGACAUGUGGAGCGCUUAGAAGUGAGAAUGCCGGUGUGAGUAGCGAAAGACGGGUGAGAAUCCCGUCCACCGAUUGACUAAGGUUUCCAGAGGAAGGCUCGUCCGCUCUGGGUUAGUCGGGUCCUAAGCUGAGGCCGACAGGCGUAGGCGAUGGAUAACAGGUUGAUAUUCCUGUACCACCUAUAAUCGUUUUAAUCGAUGGGGGGACGCAGUAGGAUAGGCGAAGCGUGCGAUUGGAUUGCACGUCUAAGCAGUAAGGCUGAGUAUUAGGCAAAUCCGGUACUCGUUAAGGCUGAGCUGUGAUGGGGAGAAGACAUUGUGUCUUCGAGUCGUUGAUUUCACACUGCCGAGAAAAGCCUCUAGAUAGAAAAUAGGUGCCCGUACCGCAAACCGACACAGGUAGUCAAGAUGAGAAUUCUAAGGUGAGCGAGCGAACUCUCGUUAAGGAACUCGGCAAAAUGACCCCGUAACUUCGGGAGAAGGGGUGCUCUUUAGGGUUAACGCCCAGAAGAGCCGCAGUGAAUAGGCCCAAGCGACUGUUUAUCAAAAACACAGGUCUCUGCUAAACCGUAAGGUGAUGUAUAGGGGCUGACGCCUGCCCGGUGCUGGAAGGUUAAGAGGAGUGGUUAGCUUCUGCGAAGCUACGAAUCGAAGCCCCAGUAAACGGCGGCCGUAACUAUAACGGUCCUAAGGUAGCGAAAUUCCUUGUCGGGUAAGUUCCGACCCGCACGAAAGGCGUAACGAUUUGGGCACUGUCUCAACGAGAGACUCGGUGAAAUCAUAGUACCUGUGAAGAUGCAGGUUACCCGCGACAGGACGGAAAGACCCCGUGGAGCUUUACUGUAGCCUGAUAUUGAAAUUCGGCACAGCUUGUACAGGAUAGGUAGGAGCCUUUGAAACGUGAGCGCUAGCUUACGUGGAGGCGCUGGUGGGAUACUACCCUAGCUGUGUUGGCUUUCUAACCCGCACCACUUAUCGUGGUGGGAGACAGUGUCAGGCGGGCAGUUUGACUGGGGCGGUCGCCUCCUAAAAGGUAACGGAGGCGCUCAAAGGUUCCCUCAGAAUGGUUGGAAAUCAUUCAUAGAGUGUAAAGGCAUAAGGGAGCUUGACUGCGAGACCUACAAGUCGAGCAGGGUCGAAAGACGGACUUAGUGAUCCGGUGGUUCCGCAUGGAAGGGCCAUCGCUCAACGGAUAAAAGCUACCCCGGGGAUAACAGGCUUAUCUCCCCAAGAGUUCACAUCGACGGGGAGGUUUGGCACCUCGAUGUCGGCUCAUCGCAUCCUGGGGCUGUAGUCGGUCCCAAGGGUUGGGCUGUUCGCCCAUUAAAGCGGUACGCGAGCUGGGUUCAGAACGUCGUGAGACAGUUCGGUCCCUAUCCGUCGUGGGCGUAGGAAAUUUGAGAGGAGCUGUCCUUAGUACGAGAGGACCGGGAUGGACAUACCUCUGGUGUACCAGUUGUCGUGCCAACGGCAUAGCUGGGUAGCUAUGUGUGGACGGGAUAAGUGCUGAAAGCAUCUAAGCAUGAAGCCCCCCUCAAGAUGAGAUUUCCCAACUUCGGUUAU